GCCUGGGUGGCUCAGUCGGUUAAGUGUCCGACUUUGGCUCAGGUCAUGGGUUCAAGCCCCGUGCCAGGCU
rnacentral:tRNA from 1 species